rnacentral:rRNA from 1 species
GACGAACGCUGGCGGCGUGCUUAACACAUGCAAGUCGUACGGUAAGGCCCUUUCGGGGGUACACGAGUGGCGAACGGGUGAGUAACACGUGAGUAACCUGCCCACAACUUUGGGAUAACGCUAGGAAACUGGUGCUAAUACUGGAUAUGUGCUCCUGCUGCAUGGUGGGGGUUGGAAAGCUCCGGCGGUUGUGGAUGGACUCGCGGCCUAUCAGCUUGUUGGUGGGGUAGUGGCCUACCAAGGCGGCGACGGGUAGCCGGCCUGAGAGGGUGACCGGCCACAUUGGGACUGAGAGACGGCCCAGACUCCUACGGGAGGCAGCAGUGGGGAAUAUUGCACAAUGGGCGCAAGCCUGAUGCAGCAACGCCGCGUGCGGGAUGACGGCCUUCGGGUUGGAAACCGCUUUCAGCAGGGACGAAGCUUUUUGUGACGGUACCUGCAGAAGAAGCACCGGCUAACUACGUG